GAUGAACGCUGGCGGCGUGCCUAAUACAUGCAAGUCGAGCGAACGGACGAGAAGCUUGCUUCUCUGAUGUUAGCGGCGGACGGGUGAGUAACACGUGGAUAACCUACCUAUAAGACUGGGAUAACUUCGGGAAACCGGAGCUAAUACCGGAUAAUAUUUUGAACCGCAUGGUUCAAAAGUGAAAGACGGUCUUGCUGUCACUUAUAGAUGGAUCCGCGCUGCAUUAGCUAGUUGGUAAGGUAGCGGCUUACCAAGGCAACGAUGCAUAGCCGACCUGAGAGGGUGAUCGCCCACCCUGGACCUGAGACACGGUCCAGACUCCUACGGGAGGCAGCAGUAGGGAAUCUUCCGCAAUGGGCGAAAGCCUGACGGAGCAACGCCGCGUGAGUGAUGAAGUUCUUCGGAUCUUAAAACUCUGUUAUUAGGGAAGAACAUAUGUGUAAGUAACUGUGCACAUCUUGACGGUACCUAAUCAGAAAGCCACGGCUAACUACGUG
rnacentral:rRNA from 1 species